GGGGGGGGGGGGGGGGGUGUUGUGGUGUGGUAGAGGGUAGUUGUUACUUUUGAGGUGUAUUGGAAUCAGUAUUUACAUUGUUUCUGAAAGUAUUUGAAAAUAACUUAGGCAAUGGUUUACCACCAACUUAGCUGCAUUUUUUUUAUGCAUUUGAAUAACUUUGGGAGGUAGAAAGACAGGAAGGGUUUUGGAGAUGUGUUUUGUGGCAUUGGGGAUGUUUUGGUGGAUAUAAUUGCCGAGUUCUUGAAGACCAUGUUUUGGAAUGUUUGGUUGGACUGAAGUGCAAGAAUUUGUAAGGAGCAUCUUUUUCUGGCCUGAUUACUUAUGGAUGAAAUUGUAUUUAUGGUGUCUCUACAGUGUUACGUCAUUUGCUUCUUUUUCUUUUUAUUCUAACCAUUUUUCCUAAAAAAAGGAGUAUUGGUAGCAGGUAUUCACCAAGAUUGGGCAGUUGAGUGCUUUUUUUCUGAGGCUAUUACUUCCAUUUUAUUUUUCAGAGUUUCCCAAG
rnacentral:misc_RNA from 1 species